CCCUCCCUCCAACUCCUCCCCUGAGAUUCCCUGAUUGGUUCAUGUGUUUGUACCCUCCCUUCCUUAAAUUGGGAUGUUCAGCAGUGUUCGGUGCUCAGAGUCCUUGGGUCCCUGUGUGCCUUUCCAGCCCUCGUCCUACCACCACUCCCCUUUCCUCAAUAAACCUUGUUCCUGGAAAGCUGCGUGGACUCUGGGUCUCCUCCAUCCUCUUCGUUGAAGCCCACGACGUCGUGCCCCGCAGAGCCUAGCGUGCCGUCAAGGCUCUGAAGGUUCGGUCUGGGGAAAACAGCUCCCAGACCGUUCCCCACUCCUGACGCUGCAAGUGGCCAGUGAGCUGGGCUAGCCGAAGACGUGACGGGUCGCAGCGGGCAGCGUCAGUCUCCCUCCCUGAACACUGUGCUUUUGAGAAAAGGGGAAUACAAGGGGAUCUAGACUGCUGUCCCUGUUAAGUACCACAGUAGCCCAUGCAGAUCUUCAUGAUUAUGAUGUGGAAGAGGGGAAAAAAGAGUGUGUGAUGCUGAGGGAGAAGAAAAUGGUCCUUGGAAAAACUGAUUUCUGAAAAGAAAAGUAGCUGAAGCCUCUAAUAAUUGUUUUUGAGAACCCAGUGAGGUACCCAACACUGCUGCUAGCUCUCAGGAAGCUCUACAAUGUGGUGAAAAAUACCCAGGAGCAGAAAUCCCACCAAGAAGUUGACCCUCUGAAUCCCACCGAGAAAUGAACCUCCUGAAUGGCAGCACAGAAGAGCUGGCAAAGGCUUCCAUGAAGAAAGAAGUGCCUGUGGAGGUUCUGAACUUGGCUCUUCACCAGUUUGAUGCCUUCUGAAAUUUUGACUGAAGAUUUGGAUAUUUUCAGUAUAAGUAUUCUCUAAGUAUAUGCAAUCUGUCAUAGACAGCUCAUGUGAAAUAUCAAAACUAAUUUGCAUUAAAUCUACGAUAAAGGAAAAAGCAAGGUUUUGUUUUGCUCUUUUUUCUUUAAUUUAAAACAUAUUUUAAUUUAUUUUGCCUAGGU